AGUAACCCUCUGUAGGAUUCUGUGAAUGGUAGAUCCUUAUGCUAGGAUUGUAUAUUAGAGCUUAAGGACUCCUCAGAGACCAAACAUAGCUAAGACCUCCAUUAAUGGUUAAGGAAACUGUUUCCCAGAGAGCAUGGACAUCUAUGUAUAUAUGACUGCAAUGGAAUACCAUUAUGCCGUAAGAAAUGACAAACAAAAUUAUGCCAAAAAAAUCCCUGGAAAGACUUAUAUGAAGUGAUGCAAAGCAAAGUGAGCAGAACCCGGAGAACAUUGUAUAUGAGAAGAUUAAAAAGAAAAUACCAACAUCAAGAACUAGCCAUUAAAACUGUCCAAAAUGGAAUCGACUGCAUGGCAAAGUGGAGAGCUCCUUCACAGCUGAGUUCUUCAAAUGAUCCAGGGAGAAGUCCAAAUGGAGAAGUUACAAGGCAAAGUCUCAGGAGCAGUCCUUCAAAACUAACGUCCAAAGGAGAAGAUUCAAGUCCAUGAUCCAAGAUGAAGGUUCAAGCAGAAGGUUCAAGCUGAAGGGUCCAAGCCAAAGGUCCCUUAGACAUGAAGUUCAGGACUUUAUAUAGUACUUUUUUUACAUCACUUCCUGUUCCUUUCUCCACUUUAUGGGAACCAAUUGCAAUCUUUCAAUUUGUGUAGUACUGCCCAAGUCACUGGCCUCUGGAGCACUUUAGCAAGUGACUUGUGAACUCUCUUACUUAGUGUUAAGUAGGGGUGUUUUCAUUUCUUGGUUAAUUUUAUAAUUGCUGAUUGAUAGAUACAGUUUGAUUCACCCUUCACAUACUAAAGAUUUCCUUCAUGUUCCCCUCAUCAAAAAAAAGUCUUUAAAAAAUUUGAAAAACUCUACCC
rnacentral:lncRNA from 1 species